rnacentral:rRNA from 1 species
CCCUUAGAUGUCCUGGGCCGCACGCGCGUUACACUGAUGCAUUCAACGAGCUUAUAACCUUGGCCGAGAGGCCUGGGCAAUCUUGUUAACGUGCAUCGUGAUAGGGAUAGAUUAUUGAAAUUAUUAAUCUUGAACGAGGAAUUCCUAGUAAACGCAGAUCAUCAAUCUGCAUUGAUUACGUCCCUGCCCUUUGUACACACCGCCCGUCGCACCUACCGAUUGGAUGGUCCGGUGAAACCUCGGGAUUGUGGUUCUUGCCGCUUUAUUGUGGCGUGACCGCGAGAACUUGUCUAAACCUUAUCAUCUAGAGGAAGGUGAAGUCGUAACA